UACGGGGGGGGCAAGCGUUGUUCGGAAUUACUGGGCGUAAAGGGCUCGUAGGCGGCCAACUAAGUCGGACGUGAAAUCCCCAGGCUCAACCUGGGAACUGCGUCCGAUACUGGAUGGCUUGAAUUCGGGAGAGGGAUGCAGAAUUCCAGGUGUAGCGGUGAAAUGCGUAGAUAUCUGGAGGAACACCGGUGGUGUAGACGGCUCUCUGGACCGUAACUGACGCUGAGACACGAAAGCGUGGGUAGCAAACAGG
rnacentral:rRNA from 1 species